AGAGUUUGAUCCUGGCUCAGAAUGAACGUUGGCGGCGUGGAUUAGGCAUGCAAGUCGAGCGAGAACUGGCCGCAAGGCUGGGGACAGCGGCGUAAGGGACAGUAAUGUACAGGUACCUACCCUCGGGACCGGGAUAGCUGCGGGAAACUGCAGGUAAUACCGGAUAAUAUCUCCGGAUCAAAGGUGUGAGUCCGCCGGGGGAGGGGCCUGUAUCCUAUUAGCUUGUUGGUGAGGUGACGGCUCACCAAGGCCAUGAUGGGUAGCGGGUGUGAGAGCACGACCCGCGUCACUGGGACUGAGACACUGCCCAGACACCUACGGGUGGCUGCAGUCGAGGAUCUUCGGCAAUGGGCGCAAGCCUGACCGAGCGACGCCGCGUGCGGGAUGAAGGCCUUCGGGUUGUAAA
rnacentral:rRNA from 1 species